rnacentral:rRNA from 1 species
UACGAAGGGUGCAAACGUUGCUCGGAAUCAUUGGGCGUAAAGCGCACGUAGGCGGCUUCGCAAGUCGGAUGUGAAAUCCCACGGCUCAACCAUGGACGUGCAUUCGAAACUGCGAAGCUUGAGUAUGGAAGAGGGUCGCGGAAUUCCCGGUGUAGAGGUGAAAUUCGUAGAUAUCGGGAGGGACACCAGUGGCGAAGGCGGCGACCUGGGCCAAUACUGACGCUGAGGUGCGAAAGCGUGGGGAGCAAACAGG